GACGUAGGGCGCGAGCGUUGUCCGGAUUUAUUGGGCGUAAAGAGCGUGUAGGCGGCCAAGCAGGUCCGCUGUGAAAACUCGAGGCUCAACCUCGAGACGUCGGUGGAAACCGUUUGGCUAGAGUCCGGAAGAGGAGAGUGGAAUUCCCGGUGUAGCGGUGAAAUGCGCAGAUAUCGGGAAGAACACCCGUGGCGAAGGCGGCUCUCUGGGACGGUACUGACGCUGAGAUGCGAAAAGCGUGGGGAGCGAACAGG
rnacentral:rRNA from 1 species